AUAGCCUGGUCUUCCCCUUAAUGAUUCUUCCUUUUCAGGGUCUUUUAUUGAACCUUUUCCUCUUAUAUACACCCGACACCCUGUAGAGGCUUCCACACGCUUCAACGAAUUGCCCCUAGGGCCCAAAAGUCGGCCUACAAAAUUGAAAGUUGGAUAGCUAUCAACAGGAACAUCCAAACGCAAGAUUUUCUUCACAAUAUAGGAACUUGGGCUUGCUGGUGGUGCUUGCCAGUCCAUAUUAAUCCCCUGCAUUCCUAAUCUCUGCUAGGUAAUGAACAUAAUGUCAUACUAUUGUAGCUGGAAUUAAUACAUUCAUUAGAUUGGAAACGCGCAAAAAGAGACAGAAAGAUCAAGAAAACAUGUGAAGCAAAGUCAUUGCAAGUCACCUAUACAGAUAUAAGAGGAAUAUGCAAGAUACACCUACUUUGCAACUAAUGAUGAGUACUAGCAGUGAACUUGUUUGACCAUCAAGCCAGGUCAUGCAGUUUAAGAUGCAAUUUCACCAUUCAGUUCUGUUAGACACCAGGUCUGCAUCAAUAUUCAAAACUAAUACAAUCUUCAACCGCCAAAAUAUAGGUUCUUGAUAACUAGGAAGAUUUUACUAAUUAGCCUACGAAAACAAACCUUAAUUUACAAGGUCUAGACCUGUGAGUUAGUAAAAAGAGUAUGUAGGCACAUCUCAUUAAAGAAAUUGAUAUUGUACACUGUAUAUCUGCUUUGUUUCUUGUCAAAUUCUUGUUAAUUCAUGCAAAUAAAUUUUCUGGACUGGAAUGUGCAAGUGAAUGUGAAUCAUUAAUCAUAUUAUUUUAAGGUAUAACAAGCAAUGCAAACGGGAGUGCCAAUUGCCAAACUGAGUGAGUGCAUUCAAAUUAGUUAUAAAACCUUACCUCAUUCGGCAGCCCAUUCCACCCAAUUAUCCCUGUUCCUCUAUUAUUUGGCAACAUGUCUGAAGAAGCCAUAGGGCUCAAGCUUCCACGUUGCAGUCUAUCAAAGUCACUUAACCCCUGGUUGGACAUCAUUCCAGAGGCCCUCAAUAUUUCUGCUAACAUUAGAGAUUAAUGCACUUAUUCAUUUCAAGUUCUCUUGAAUAAAAAAAAUAAAGAUUAAAAUUCCAUUAAAAUAAUCACUAACUAGACAGUUAAUUAAAAUAAUCACCACAUUAAUCAACAAUAAAUGUCACCCCACAAGUCCAAACUAGAAGAGGAGCAUUUUGUUAAUUGAAAGGUUGAUGCAAUUCCAUUCAAGGUACUACAUUCAUAAUUUAGCAAGAUAGACCAAUUUGGGGCUCCUGCAAAACUGCAAUUAGACAUAAUUUCUACUCCUGAAACUUGUAAUACAUGCAUGUUUGAGAUCCUGAUCCCCUCUGAUUGUGAUGACCGACCUUGGAAUGGACCAAUAACUUAACCAGCCUUCCUAUCUCCAACUAAUUUAACCAAGAAACAGCUAGUUACGACUACAAAACAUACUUUGGAAGAUACACAUCGGUUUGACUGCCAUAAUAUUAUGAUGUUUUCAGUAACAUUUUGUUUUCAGUCAUUAAGCACAUACUCAUCCAUGGCAUCUAACAAAUGAUACAAGUCAUGAACUACAUAGAUUUCUCAAUUAAAAUUGGUUGUGUUUGGAAGAAGUAGCUUCGGCAAUAUACACAUAAAAGGUUCAAGAAGGCUCUUUCCCAUUCCCAAGAAUUGAUAAAUUCAAUGCAGUAGGUAUUGCUGCACAACUAAGAUGGGCAAUUUUAGGUAAGCAUACUGAAACAAUUAUAAAUAAAGAAGACAACACAUCCAAUUCUAAUUCAGCAGUGGUUUAAGACAAUUUAAACAUGAGAAUAUAACAAAAGCGUCAAUGAACAAGGGCAAGAAAACAAAGUACACCAUGUUAAAGGGAAAUUCUGCUUCAAUUUUGUCAUUCACAAAUAAGAAGAAGGGGGUAAGGAUUAAAUACACCAAGCAUCAGAGUUAUAAACAAGAAAUAUAAAAAUCGAACUGGGGAGACUAUAGAUCGAAAUUAAAAGUGAAAAAGAAGAACCUUGAUUCAAAAGUCGGCUACAUAUAGGAAGGAUUCGAGUAAAAGGUCCAAGCUUCUGGUGCUCUUCAAGCAACUCUGUCAAAUAGUGACCACUAUCAACAUCAGGGGUUGUUCUUAUAUGUGGAGACAGAGUUCUUGCAGGCGAAAAAUUCUGUGCGUAUAAGCCAGACAUGAAUAUGGUAUUGCAAGACACACAGAGACAGAAAGGAUGAAGAAGAAGGCAAAGCCCUGCCUGCCCCUACUCUGAAAGGGAAAAAAUGGUGGAUGCAAAAAUUGCAAAGGAAGAGUGGGCUUUUU
rnacentral:misc_RNA from 1 species